rnacentral:rRNA from 1 species
GAUGAACGCUAGCGAUAGGCCUAACACAUGCAAGUCGAGGGGCAGCACAUGACGUAGCAAUACAGAUGGUGGCGACCGGCGCACGGGUGAGUAACACGUAUGCAACCUACCUUCCACUGGAGAAUAACCCGUUGAAAGACGGGCUAAUACUCCAUAAUACAGGGGUCCCGCAUGGGAAUAUUUGUUAAAGAAUUUUCGGUAGAAGAUGGGCAUGCGUUCCAUUAGCUAGUUGGUUGAGGUAACGGCUCACCAAGGCAACGAUGGAUAGGGGAACUGAGAGGAAGACCCCCCACACUGGGACUGAGACACGGCCCAGACUCCUACGGGAGGCAGCAGUGAGGAAUAUUGGACAAUGGAUGGAAAUCUGAUCCAGCCAUGCCGCGUGCAGGAAGACGGCCCUAUGGGUUGUAAAACUGCUUUUAUAUGGGAGCAAUAAGGUUUACGCGUAGACCGAUGAGAGUACCAUAUGAAUAAGCAUCGGCUAACUCCGUG